rnacentral:misc_RNA from 1 species
AUGAAGAACGUAGCGAAAUGCGAUAAGUAAUGUGAAUUGCAGAAUUCAGUGAAUCAUCGAAUCUUUGAACGCACCUUGCGCCCUUUGGCCAUUCCGAAGGGCAUGCCUGUUUGAGUAUCAUGAACACCUCAACUCUUCAUGGUUUUCCAUGAUGAGCUUGGACUUUGGGGGUCUUGCUGGCCUGUGGGUCGGCUCCUCUCAAAUGAAUCAGCUUGCCGGUUUUUGGUGGGCAUCACAGGUGUGAUAACUAUCUACGCUUGUGGUUUUCCACCAGGGUAACCUUCAGCAGUGGAGGUUCACUGGAGCUUACAAAUGUCUCUCCUCUGUGAGGACAGCCCUUUGAAUGUUUGAUCUCAAAUCAGGUAGGACUACCCGCUGAACUUAAGCAUAUCAAUAAGCGGAGGA